rnacentral:rRNA from 1 species
UACGUAGGGGGCAAGCGUUGUCCGGAAUCAUUGGGCGUAAAGCGCGCGUAGGCGGCCCGGUAAGUCCGCUGUGAAAGUCAAAGGCUCAACCUUUGAAUGUCAGCGGAUACUGCCGGGCUAGAGUCCGGAAGAGGCGAGUGGAACUCCUGGUGUAGCGGUGGAAUGCGCAGAUAUCAGGAGGAACACCAAUGGCGAAGGCAGCUCGCUGGGACGGUACUGACGCUGAGGCGCGAAAGCGUGGGGAGCAAACAGG